AUCGGAUAAACAUUUGAAGAAACAUGGAUAUAACAAUUCAAACGGGGGACUCACUUCCAGAAAUUCCAAAAUGUCACAAAUGCUGCAGUGAUUUUGACUACCAUCAAAGUGGUUCCCCCUAAAGCCAUGUGUGCCUGUCUACAUGGACAGCCAUUAUUCAUGGCCUAUGUGAAAUGCAGGCAUUAUCCUGGCAGGAAGCUGAGCAGGUGUUCCUCAGUGGCCCUUUUUAUCACUCUAGUGAAGUCGAGGAAUUUGACAGAGCAGUUUCCAAAAGACAAAAAAAGAAGGAAAAAAAAUCACCUGCUGGAAGUAAUUAUUUU